GGUUCAAGGGGUUGCCACGCUCUGACUCUGAUCAUGAAUCGCCCGGAGACUGGAUGAGAGAGCUGAAGUCACUGGUACAGUAGCUGAUCAUUGUAUGAACUGGACAUACAUGGAGGCUGUUCUCAUCCAGAGACAAUAAAUAUCUCAGACACUCA